rnacentral:rRNA from 1 species
UAUUGGAAUACGAUUAAGACAUGCGAGUCGAGAGACAUUUGGUCUCGGCGGACCGCUCAGUAACACGUGGAUAACAUGCCCUAAGGUGGGGGAUAAUCUCGGGAAACUGAGGGUAAUACCCCAUAGGUCUUCUAUGCUGGAAUGCUUGAAGGCCGAAAACUCCGGUGCCUUANGAUUGGUCUGCGGCCUAUCAGGCAGUAGUGGGUGUAACGGACCCACUANCCCGUGACGGGUAUGGGCCUUGAGAGAGGGAGCCCAGAGAUGGACUCUGAGACAUGAGUCCAGGCCCUACGGGGCGCAGCAGUCGCGAAAACUUCGCAAUGGGGGCAACCCCGACGAGGGAAUUCCAAGUGCCAGCACUUUGUGUUGGCUGUUCUCCUGUCUAAAAAACAGGAGGAGUAAGGGGCGGGUAAGACGGGUGCCANCCGCCGCGGUAAUACCCGCGCCCCGAGUGGUGG